GGAUACUACACAAAUCCUGUACAUAUGAUGGAGAAUGAAAGUUGUGAGAAUA
rnacentral:guide_RNA from 1 species